rfam:Salmo salar isolate Sally breed double haploid chromosome ssa17, whole genome shotgun sequence.
UCCCGUGUAGCUCAGUUGGUAGAGCAUGGUACUUGCAACACCAGGGUUGUGGGUUCGAUUCCCACGUGGGAC